GACGUAGGGGGCCAGCGUUGUUCGGAAUUACUGGGCGUAAAGAGCUCGUAGGUGGUUUGUCACGUUGUUCGUGAAAACCCACAGCUCAACUGUGGGCGUGCGAGCGAUACGGGCAGACUAGAGUACUGCAGGGGAGACUGGAAUUCCUGGUGUAGCGGUGAAAUGCGCAGAUAUCAGGAAGAACACCCGUGGCGAAGGCGGCUCUCUGGUACGUGACUGACGCUGAGACGCGAAAGCGUGGGGAGCAAACAGG
rnacentral:rRNA from 1 species